rnacentral:rRNA from 1 species
CCUACGGGUGGCAGCAGUGAGGAAUAUUGGUCAAUGGACGAGAGUCUGAACCAGCCAAGUAGCGUGAAGGAUGACGGUUUUCGGAUUGUAAACUUCUGUUCUUAGUGAAGCAUAAUGACGGUAACUAAGGAGCAAGCCACGGCUAACUACGUGCCAGCAGCCGCGGUAAUACGUAGGUGGCAAGCGUUGUCCGGAAUUACUGGGUGUAAAGGGAGCGUAGGCGGGAAGCCAAGUCAGCUGUGAAAACUACGGGCUUAACCUGUAGACUGUAGUGGAAACUGGCUUUCUUGAGUGAAGUAGAGGUUGGCGGAAUUCCGAGUGUAGCGGUGAAAUGCGUAGAUAUUCGGAGGAACACCGGUGGCGAAGGCGGCCAAAUGGGCUUUAACUGACGCUGAGGCUCGAAAGUGUGGGGAGCAAACAGGAUUAGAUACCCGUGUAGUC